rnacentral:rRNA from 1 species
UACGUAGGGUGCAAGCGUUGUCCGGAAUUAUUGGGCGUAAAGAGCUCGUAGGCGGUUUGUCGCGUCUGCUGUGAAAACUCAGGGCUUAACCCUGAGCCUGCAGUGGGUACGGGCAGACUAGAGUGUGGUAGGGGAGAUCGGAAUUCCUGGUGUAGCGGUGGAAUGCGCAGAUAUCAGGAGGAACACCUAUUGCGAAGGCAGCUCGCUGGGACGUAACUGACGCUGAGACGCGAAAGCGUGGGGAGCAAACAGG